rnacentral:misc_RNA from 1 species
AAUUUUGAGGAAAAUUAAAGAAAAUCAUUUAUUGUUAAAAAAAUUUAGAAAAAUAAUUUUUAUCACUUCUAAAACAAAGAUUCAGGAUUCGAGGUCCGCAUACACGUGGGGAAGGUGUUAAGCACCUCACAUCGUCCCUCAACAAGGGCAAGUGGAUUUAAGGAUGUGCUCUUUAUAAUUCAACGCCAAUAAUUUUACUGGAGUUUAAAUUAUAAUGUUGAUCCGCGUAUUUGACAUAGAAUUGUUUAAUGUCUCACCAUUUAGAGUAAGCCCCAAGAACGAAAGGUAAAUGGGGUGACUCUGAAGUGAAUUUUGACUCUAAUUAUUAAUUUGUUAAAUUCCUCCCUCCACAAAUUAUGACUCUAAUUAUGAAGAGGUAUCAUUUGGUUCCUAGAGAUUUAUAACGAAUAAGAAAGACUCUCAGCUUAUUCAUUACUAAUCUCAUCGUCGGUGUCCAAACAAUCGAGAGCGUAGUGUGUUAAGUGACUAUUCUAUAAAAUUGAAUUGAUAUGAGUUUAGACUUUCAUUCCUUUUAAUUGGGACUCCAAUUCAAAGGGAAUGUGUUAAUUAAAGCCUA